rnacentral:rRNA from 1 species
UACGGAGGGUGCGAGCGUUGUCCGGAAUCACUGGGCGUAAAGGGCGCGUAGGCGGCCUGAUAAGUAGGGGGUGAAAUCCUGCGGCUUAACCGCAGGGCUGCCUUCUAAACUGUCAGGCUUGAGCACAGUAGAGGCAGGUGGAAUUCCCGGUGUAGCGGUGGAAUGCGUAGAUAUCGUAAGGAAGGCCGGUGGCGAAAGCGAGCCUCUGGACAGUUACUGACGCUGAUGCACGAAGGCCAGGGGAGCAAACGGG